rnacentral:rRNA from 1 species
AGAGUUUGAUCAUGGCUCAGGACGAACGCUGGCGGCGUGCCUUACACAUGCAAGUCGAACGGAAAGGCCCUUCGGGGUACUCGAGUGGCGAACGGGUGAGUAACACGUGGGUGAUCUGCCCUGCACUUUGGGAUAAGCCUGGGAAACUGGGUCUAAUACCGAAUAUGACCAUGCACUUCCUGGUGUGUGGUGGAAAGCUUUUGCGGUGUGGGAUGGGCCCGCGGCCUAUCAGCUUGUUGGUGGGGUAAUGGCCUACCAAGGCGACGACGGGUAGCCGGCCUGAGAGGGUGACCGGCCACACUGGGACUGAGAUACGGCCCAGACUCCUACGGGAGGCAGCAGUGGGGAAUAUUGCACAAUGGGCGCAAGCCUGAUGCAGCGACGCCGCGUGAGGGAUGACGGCCUUCGGGUUGUAAACCUCUUUCAAUAGGGACGAAGCGCAAGUGACGGUACCUAUAGAAGAAGGACCGGCCAACUACGUGCCAGCAGCCGCGGUAAUACGUAGGGUCCGAGCGUUGUCCGGAAUUACUGGGCGUAAAGAGCUCGUAGGUGGUUUGUCGCGUUGUUCGUGAAAACUCACAGCUUAACUGUGGGCGUGCGGGCGAUACGGGCAGACUAGAGUACUGCAGGGGAGACUGGAAUUCCUGGUGUAGCGGUGGAAUGCGCAGAUAUCAGGAGGAACACCGGUGGCGAAGGCGGGUCUCUGGGCAGUAACUGACGCUGAGGAGCGAAAGCGUGGGGAGCGAACAGGAUUAGAUACCCCGGUAGUCC